rnacentral:rRNA from 1 species
UACGAAGGGGGCUAGCGUUGCUCGGAAUCACUGGGCGUAAAGGGUGCGUAGGCGGGUCUUUAAGUCAGGGGUGAAAUCCUGGAGCUCAACUCCAGAACUGCCUUUGAUACUGAAGAUCUUGAGUUCGGGAGAGGUGAGUGGAACUGCGAGUGUAGAGGUGAAAUUCGUAGAUAUUCGCAAGAACACCAGUGGCGAAGGCGGCUCACUGGCUCGGUAUUGACGCUGAGGUGCGAAAGCGUGGGGAGCAAACAGGG